rnacentral:lncRNA from 1 species
AGGUUGAUUGUUUGUGCAUUGAGUGGUUGUUUUAUUUGCGGUUGGUAAAAGUAGUAAACACAAAAUGCAAAACCUAACAAAAAUAAGUUUAUGACGCCUGCUUCAAAGCUGCGUUUCAAAAAAUCUAUCACAUUGCUUACCAAAACAUGCUUCUAAUUAACACUGAAACAUAUCCGUCUUGUAGUUACAUCAUUACACGUAAAACACGUAAGUGAAGUAGUGGAACAUGAGCAAGAUAUGUUUUAGAAUAAGUGCAUGUGAU